rnacentral:rRNA from 1 species
UGAAUACGAGACGCUAAGGCGUCGAAGUAGUGUAUGUCAUACUUCCAAGAAAAGCUUGCACUGUCAUAGAUAAAAAACGCCUGUACCAUAACCGACACAGGUGGGUAGGUAGAGUAUACUAAGGGGCGCGAGAUAACUCUCUCUAAGGAACUCGGCAAAAUAACUCCGUAACUUCGGGAGAAGGAGUGCCUUAUUCUUAAGGUUGCAAUAACAAGAUCCAAGCAACUGUUUAUCAAAAACACAGGUCUCCGCUAAGUCGUAAGACGAUGUAUGGGGGCUGACGCCUGCCCAGUGCCAGAAGGUUAAAGAAGCUGGUUAGCAUUUGCGAAGCUAGUAACUGAAGCCCUGGUGAACGGCGGCCGUAACAAUAACGGUCCUAAGGUAGCGAAAUUCCUUGUCGGGUAAGUUCCGACCCGCACGAAAGGCGUAAUGAUUUGGAUACUGUCUCGGAGAGGGGCUCGGUGAAAUAGACUUGUCUGUGAAGAUGCGGACUACCUGCACCAGGACAGAAAGACCCUAUGAAGCUUUACUGUAACUUGAAAUUGAAAUUGGACUUUAUUCGCGCAGUAUAGGUGGGAGGCGUUGAUUAUAAUCUUGCGGGAUUAUUGGAGCCAUUAGUGAGAUACCACUCUUGUAAUGUUAGAUUUCUAACUUUGAAUCAUUAUCUGGUCAAAGAACAGUUUCAGGCGGGCAGUUUGACUGGGGCGGUCGCCUCCUAAACGGUAACGGAGGCGUACAAAGGUUUCCUCUGAACGGUUAGAAAUCGUAUCUAGAGUGUAAAGGCAUAAGGAAGCUUGACUGUGAGACCUACAAGUCGAGCAGGGACGAAAGUCGGUCUUAGUGAUCUGACGGUACUGAGUGGAAAGGCCGUCACUCAACGGAUAAAAGUUACUCUAGGAUAACAGGCUGAUCUCCCCCAAGACUUCACAUCGACGGGGAGGUUUGGCACCUCGAUGUCGGCUCAUCGCAUCCUGGGGCGGUAGUACGUCCCAAGGGUUGGGCUGUUCGCCCAUGAGAGCGGUACGCGAGCUGGGUUCAGAACGUCGUGAGACAGUUCGGUCCAUAUCCGGUGUAGGCGUUAGAAUAUUGAGAGGAGCCUUCUUUAGUACGAGAGGACCGAGAAGGACAUACCUCUGGUGUACCAGUUAUCGUGCCAACGGUAAACGCUGGGUAGCUAUGUAUGGAGUGGAUAACCGCUGAAAGCAUCUAAGUGGGAAGCCCACCUCAAGAUAAGUAUUCUCAUC